rnacentral:rRNA from 1 species
UACGUAGGGAGCAAGCGUUGUCCGGAAUCAUUGGGCGUAAAGCGCGUGUAGGCGGCCCGGUAAGUCCGCUGUGAAAGUCGGGGGCUCAACCCUCGGAUGCCGGUGGAUACUGUCGGGCUAGAGUGCGGAAGAGGCGAGUGGAAUUCCUGGUGUAGCGGUGAAAUGCGCAGAUAUCAGGAGGAACACCAAUUGCGAAGGCAGCUCGCUGGGACGUUACUGACGCUGAGACGCGAAAGCGUGGGGAGCAAACAGG